GAACGCUGGCGGCGUGCCUAAUACAUGCAAGUAGAACGCUGAAGAGAGGAGCUUGCUCUUCUUGGAUGAGUUGCGAACGGGUGAGUAACGCGUAGGUAACCUGCCUUGUAGCGGGGGAUAACUAUUGGAAACGAUAGCUAAUACCGCAUAACAAUGGAUGACACAUGUCAUUUAUUUGAAAGGGGCAAUUGCUCCACUACAAGAUGGACCUGCGUUGUAUUAGCUAGUAGGUGAGGUAACGGCUCACCUAGGCGACGAUACAUAGCCGACCUGAGAGGGUGAUCGGCCACACUGGGACUGAGACACGGCCCAGACUCCUACGGGAGGCAGCAGUAGGGAAUCUUCGGCAAUGGGGGCAACCCUGACCGAGCAACGCCGCGUGAGUGAAGAAGGUUUUCGGAUCGUAAAGCUCUGUUGUAAGUCAAGAACGAGUGUGAGAGUGGAAAGUUCACACUGUGACGGUAGCUUACCAGAAAGGGACGGCUAACUACGUGCCAGCAGCCGCGGUAAUACGUAGGUCCCGAGCGUUGUCCGGAUUUAUUGGGCGUAAAGCGAGCGCAGGCGGUUUGAUAAGUCUGAAGUUAAAGGCUGUGGCUCAACCAUAGUUCGCUUUGGAAACUGUCAAACUUGAGUGCAGAAGGGGAGAGUGGAAUUCCAUGUGUAGCGGUGAAAUGCGUAGAUAUAUGGAGGAACACCGGUGGCGAAAGCGGCUCUCUGGUCUGUAACUGACGCUGAGGCUCGAAAGCGUGGGGAGCGAACAGGAUUAGAUACCCUGGUAGUCCACGCCGUAAACGAUGAGUGCUAGGUGUUGGAUCCUUUCCGGGAUUCGGUGCCGCAGCUAACGCAUUAAGCACUCCGCCUGGGAGUACGACCGCCAAGGUU
rnacentral:rRNA from 1 species